CCUACAGGUGGCUGCAGUGGGGAAUAUUGCACAAUGGGGGAAACCCUGAUGCAGCGACGCCGCGUGAGUGAAGAAGUAAUUCGUUAUGUAACGCUCUAUCAGCAGGGAAGAAAAUGACGGUACCUGAGUCAGAAGCCCCGGCUAACUAAGUGCCAGCAGCCGCGGUAAUACGCAGGGGGCAAGCGUUAUCCGGAUUUACUGGGUGUAAAGGGAGCGUAGACGGCAGUGCAAGUCUGGAGUGAAAGGCGGGGGCUCAACCCCCGGACUGCUCUGGAAACUGUACGGCUGGAGUGCAGGAGAGGUAAGUGGAAUGCCUAGUGUAGCGGUGAAAUGCGUAGAUAUUAGGAGGAACACCAGUGGCGAAGGCGGCUUACUGGACUGUAACUGACGUUGAGGCUCGAAAGCGUGGGGAGCAAACAGGAUUAGAUACCCUAGUAGUC
rnacentral:rRNA from 1 species